AUUGAACGCUGGCGGCAUGCCUUACACAUGCAAGUCGAACGGUAGAGUAGCAAUACUUGAGAGUGGCGAACGGGUGAGUAAUAUAUCGGAACGUGCCCAGUUGUGGGGGAUAACGUAGCGAAAGUUACGCUAAUACCGCAUACGAUCUAAGGAUGAAAGCGGGGGACUCGCAAGAGCCUCGCGCAACUGGAGCGGCUGAUAUCAGAUUAGGUAGUUGGUGAGGUAAAAGCUCACCAAGCCGACGAUCUGUAGCUGGUUUGAGAGAACGACCAGCCACACUGGGACUGAGACACGGCCCAGACUCCUACGGGAGGCAGCAGUGGGGAAUUUUGGACAAUGGGCGCAAGCCUGAUCCAGCAAUGCCGCGUGCAGGAAGAAGGCCUUCGGGUUGUAAACUGCUUUUGUACGGAACGAAAAGGUCCUGGCUAAUACCCGGGGCUCAUGACGGUACCGUAAGAAUAAGCACCGGCUAACUACGUGCCAGCAGCCGCAGUAAAAC
rnacentral:rRNA from 1 species